CUUACACAUUUUGUAUGUGUCUAAAUGAGUGACACCUUAUGAUAAGUGAAUUACUAUAAAAUAAUGGUCAACAAGAGUGGACCCCACUGUCCACAAUGAAGAACCCAUUUAAGAUCUGUUGUGCACUAUAUUUAUAUAUUUUGGAGGCAGCAAAUGACUACAAGGUAUUUUGGUUACUCUUAUCAAAAGGAAAUAUUUUAUAACGUGUAAGAGGUCUUGAGCAAAUUAGGAAAAUUCUAUGUUGAUUACGUUGAAGGCAUCAUAUAUAUUUCCACACCAGCACCAAAACGUAAAGGAGAAGUGUUGAUUUGAAGGAUUAUGAUGAAUCGAAGAUUUCUACGAAGUAAAGUAAGAUGAAAGAAGAGUAGUUUAUGGCAUAUGAGGUUUAUCAUAUUAAUUGUGGAAGUUCUUGGCUGGACUGAGGUCUUGAACGACGUAAGGUGCAGAUACUCACUUUGGUGAUCCGCCAGCUUAGGAUUCCCUUUCUGCUGUCUUGGAGAGCUCCGUCGUUCCGGAGCCUAGAUUUUGGGACAGACUUCCUGAUAUGUAUAUAUAUAUAUAUGUUUUUGUCCAGGGGUACGACGGGGCCCUGUCCCGUCAUAUGUUACUGUUGAUACUCUUAGAGGUCUGUAGACAUGUAUGUGGGUUGUGUACAGGUUUGAUCAGCUGUGUCUAUAUGGUUAUUGCGGAUGUUCUGUCGUGGUAGCAGUCUUGCCGGCUUGCAUAUGUUAUCGUUUCGUAGUGGCAGCCUUGUCGGCUUGCGUAAUAUUCUGAUACGUAAUGGCAGCCUUGUCGGCUUGCGUAGUAUAAUGAUAUAUAUACAGUGGCAGCCUCGUCGGCUUGCGGAUGUUAUUUCGAUAUGAUUGAUUGAGGACCUAUAGUAUCAUUCCGGUUAUGUUGACAGGUACAUGUGGGUGUCCAGCUCGGGCACUAGUCAUGGCCCACGGGGCUGGGUCGUGACACUAAUGCCCGGCGGUGUUUGUGAAUCUGAUGAAUAAUGUAUUCAGGCCUCUUUUAGAUUUGUUUGUGAUAGUAUUCAUUGAUGAUAUUCUAGUAUACUCUCGGAUAGAGACAGAGCAUGUAAACCAUUUACGUAUUGUCCUUGGGAUUCGCCGGACGCGUGAAUUGUACGCUAUCUUUUUGAAAUGUGAAUUCUGGCUGAAUUCUGUAACUUUUCUAGAACACAUUAUUUCAGCUGAUGGCAUUCGAGUUGAUACUCAGAAAAUUGAGGCUGUGAAGACUUGGCCAAGGCCUACAACACCUACAGAAGUCUGUAGUUUUCUAGGAUUGGCAGGUUACUAUAGAAAGUUUGUGGAAGGGUUUUCCUCUAUCUCAGUGCCAUUGACGAAGCUAACUCAGAAGUCAGCAAAAUUUCAAUGGACUGAUGCUUGUGAACACAGUUUCCAGGAAUUGAAGGAUAAGUUGACUUCAGCCCCAGUCCUGAC